UUGCAUGUUCAUCCAUCUAGGUUUAGCAGUUGCAGUUGCAGUAACAUUUUGACGUGUCUAGUUUACACACAGAGUCCAUAACUGUGAAUACUGAUGUUCCAUGUGUGGUACUGUAUUGCAUAUGAGUAGAUUUUAGUAGGCAUUGAUGCAUUUGGAGUAAUUCUUGUAGCCAUUUCGCCCAAACCCUGUAUGAAGUGGAUCCGUG
rnacentral:lncRNA from 1 species